GUUCGUAUAGAAAAACUAUGUACGGAGGCUGGUUAAGAUAUUUAGUUUUGAAAAUUAACGAGAGGUGGCGCUUUGUUCAAUUUUGUAUAUUUUUUUUCGUUAGCAACAUUAUAAUGUGGUGUUGCUAUCGACUGUUUGUCAGUUCUUUAUACGCAAAAUACUUACGUCUCUAACUUUGAAAUAAGCUUUUUCUUCAGAAAAAAAAGAGGAAUGCAAACUUCAAAGCAUCUAAAUCAUAAACAAAAUAUGUCUACACAUGUGAUCUACACUUACUUGUUGUUACUUGAUAUUUAUUAAGGUAGAAAAUCGCUUUGGUUUUUUCCAAGUGGUUUUGUAAAUUUUUGUGUGUAAUGGAACGCAUAUAUGUCAUGGCGUCCGGCCGGUACCCUUUAAAAGUUGUUGAUUGUGUUGUGUGGUGCGUUCUCCUGUUUUUCCGUAUAUUUGUGGCUUUUCCGACAACGUUUGCUUUCCAAAGGACACCGAAAUCUCCGCUUUAAUUUUACACCUGUGCGCACUACUUUGGACUCCGAGUUUUCUUUACGAUUUGGAUUUGACGAUAUGGGAUCUCCGUUCAGAUGUUGUGUUCGUUAUUGCACUACAACUCGCAGUGAUGAUUGCAAUGUUAUUUUGCAUUCAUUUCCCAACCCCGAUAAGGAAGAGGACAGAUUUAGAUCUUGGGUCUACUCAAUUGGGGGAGAUAUUCUGGUUUUGGAUAACCAAUUUGUAUUCAAAACAGAAAAAUAUGCCACAAGCACUUCGAAAGUAAAUACCAUACAAGAAGUUCAAGAUUAAGUGCUAAUGCAGUUCCUACUUUGCAUUUAAAAGGCAUACCUUGUAAAAGACCAUUAUCAGAUGUUACCAAUGUGACCAGUUACAAUCCAAUAUUUGCUCAACCUUCAACAUCCACAGCAGGUCCACUUCAUUCUGGUGAACCAAUAUCUAUCAAGACCAGUGAACUUGAGAAGCUAGCAGAAGCAGAUUUAGGCAAACCUGUAAAGACUUCAGGAGUAAAACAUAUUUCCCUAAAACAAGCAGCUGCAAUGACAAAAAAUGUACCAAACUUAGCGAAUCUGCAAAAAACAAUCAAGAAGUUACAACAAAAGAAAGAAAGUUACGCCACACGACUGAAAAGAGCCUUAAGACUUUCUGAAAAUACCACUUUUCAGAAGUGCUUACAAAAAUUUUCGACUUUGGCAGCCUUGUUUACAGUCAUGCAAUUUCGCGAAAUUUCAAAAGGAAAAAUGGGAAGAAGGUUCACAAAGGACGAAAAAUCAUGGCUCUCAGUUUGUACAAACAGGGCCCAAAAGCAUAUAGAUGGCUCAGUAAAAUAUUUAUUUUACCAUCUCCUAUCACUCUGAGUCGUCUGAUUUCCUGUGCUGGUCUAAGACCAGGAAUCAACAAAAGGAUAUUUAACCAGUUGAAGAAAAGAGCCCAAAAAAUGACAGAAAAUGAAAAGUUAUGCAUUCUUCUGUUCGAUGAAAUAUCUAUUACACCCCAUUAUGACUAUAAUAGAAAACGAGAUGCCAUUACGGGAUUUAUUAAUAAUGGAAAACAAACAAACAGGAACAUAGCGGAUCAUGCACUUGUUUUAUGUUAAGAGGGUUUGUAAAUAAUUACAAACAACCAUUGGCUUACACAUUUUGCAAAGGAACAACUUCCAAAGGAGAUUUGAAACUUUUAAUAAAAAUAUUAUUUCCGAAUUGCAACAGUGUGGGUUUUAUGUGCUUGCAACGGUCUGUGACCAAGGGACUACAAAUGUUAGCGCUAUAAACGAAUUGAUAGAAGAAAGAAGAGUUGAUUAUAUAAGAAAAAAUCUAAAUUUUAAGCAUCAAAUAUUUGAAGUCAAUGGCAAGGAAAUAAUACCUAUUUUUGACACCCCCCACUUAAUAAAAGGGAUUAGGAAUAAUUUAAUUACCAAGAAUUUGAAGUGCAUUAUAGAAGAUGAAGUUAAAAUUGCGAAGUGGGACCACCUAAUUAAACUUCAUGAGGAAAAUCCUUCUUAUAAAGGUAUACGAUUAAUUAAAAAUCUUACAGAAGCCCACAUUGAUCCAAAGAAAAUCCCCAAGAUGAAGGUUAAGAUGGCAACUCAAAUAUUUAGUCAAACAGUCGCUACCAGUAUGGGAUACCUAGCAGAUAAAAGAAUACUUCCUUCGGAGUGCAAAGAUACCGCAGACGUAUUGAUGUUUUUCGAUCAACUUUUCGACUCUAUGAAUGGCAGUUUUGAAAAUUCAAAAAAAAGAAGCGGUAAAGUGCUGUUAAAAUCAGUCACCCCAAAAUCUGAUCACAGUAAGGUAUGGGCGAGGGCAAAAAAAGUUUUAAAAUCUAUGAAGUUUAUUGGUAGAGGAGGAAGGGAAGGUAGUGUGCCAUCAAUUACAAACUGGUUACGUACGCUGGAAAAUAUUGAAGUUUUAAAAAAUAAGGCAUUCAAUGAAUAUAAUAUAAAAUCAUUCUGGAUGAGACACUUAAAUCAAGAUCCAUUAGAGAAUUUUUUUGGCUGUAUACGGUCUCAUGGAUACAGAAAUAUAUCACCAACCCCAUCUGGCUUUGAGUCAGCUUUUGCAAGCUUAUUAAUAAAUAAUUUAUCAAGUAGUCAUUCUGUAGGGUCAAAUUGUGAAGAAGAUGACUGUAAAAUUUUUCAAUCAAUGGACUACUUAUUAAAAAAGGAGGAUAUUAAUGAACUCACAGAAAUAAAUGAAAUAGAUAUCGAUGAUAUUAAUUGCGAAAUUAUAGAUUU